CCGCGGCAAGACGGAAAGACCCCGUGAACCUUUACUAUAGCUUGACACUGAACAUUGAGCCUUGAUGUGUAGGAUAGGUGGGAGGCUUUGAAGUGUGGACGCCAGUCUGCAUGGAGCCGACCUUGAAAUACCACCCUUUAAUGUUUGAUGUUCUAACGUGGACCCGUGAUCCGGGUUGCGGACAGUGUCUGGUGGGUAGUUUGACUGGGGCGGUCUCCUCCUAAAGAGUAACGGAGGAGCACGAAGGUUGGCUAAUCCUGGUCGGACAUCAGGAGGUUAGUGCAAUGGCAUAAGCCAGCUUGACUGCGAGCGUGACGGCGCGAGCAGGUGCGAAAGCAGGUCAUAGUGAUCCGGUGGUUCUGAAUGGAAGGGCCAUCGCUCAACGGAUAAAAGGUACUCCGGGGAUAACAGGCUGAUACCGCCCAAGAGUUCAUAUCGACGGCGGUGUUUGGCACCUCGAUGUCGGCUCAUCACAUCCUGGGGCUGAAGUAGGUCCCAAGGGUAUGGCUGUUCGCCAUUUAAAGUGGUACGCGAGCUGGGUUUAGAACGUCGUGAGACAGUUCGGUCCCUAUCUGCCGUGGGCGCUGGAGAACUGAGGGGGGCUGCUCCUAGUACGAGAGGACCGGAGUGGACGCAUCACUGGUGUUCGGGUUGUCAUGCCAAUGGCACUGCCCGGUAGCUAAAUGCGGAAGAGAUAAGUGCUGAAAGCAUCUAAGCACGAAACUUGCCCCGAGAUGAGUUCUCCCUGAGACUUUAGGUCUCCUGAAGGAACGUUGAAGACGACGACGUUGAUAGGCCGGGUGUGUAAGCGCAGCGAUGCGUUGAGCUAACCGGUACUAAUGAACCGUGAGGCUUAACCUUACA
rnacentral:rRNA from 2 species